GAUGAAGAACGUAGCGAAAUGCGAUAAGUAGUGUGAAUUGCAGAAUUCAGUGAAUCAUCGAAUCUUUGAACGCACAUUGCGUCCCUUGGUAUUCCAUGGGGCAUGCCUGUUCGAGCGUCAUUUGUACCUUCAAGCUUUGCUUGGUGUUGGGUGUUUGUCCAUUCUCUUGCAGAGGGACUCGCCUUAAAGUAAUUGGCAGCCAGUGUUUUGGUUUUGAAGCGCAGCACAAGUCGCGAUUCAACGCUAUACGCCAGCUUCCACAAGCCUUUUUCACUUUUGACCUCGGAUCAGGUAGGGAUACCCGCUGAACUUAAGCAUAUCAAUAAGCGGAGGA
rnacentral:misc_RNA from 1 species